GUGCUCGCUUCGGCAGCACAUGUACUAAAAUUGGAGUGAUACAGAGAAGAUAAACAUCACCCCUUUGCAAAGAUGAUAUGCGAAUUCAUGGAGCACUCCAUAAAAAA
rnacentral:snRNA from 1 species